AUUAAACUGACGAGUUCCAAAUAUGACGAAACGCGCGUCGAACUGGAU
rfam:Schistosoma mansoni, Puerto Rico, WGS project CABG01000000 data, contig: 0207